UCUUCUUUUUCUUCUUCUGCUGCUUCUGUCGCCUCCGGCGAUUUUGUAAUAUGAUUCUGAGGUUGAAUCGAAGAGAAACUUAGGGGAAACAUUAGGAAUUGAUUGCUGGUGGUGUAUUUGAUGUUAUUUGAUCUCGGGAGAAGAAGGAGUGACGUUGUUGAAUCAACUAGGGUUCCGUUCUUGAGUUGGAAGAGAGAUUAAGAGGAGUUUUGAGUUUCUGUUUGAUGAAGAUCGAAUGGGUUGGUGUUUUAUUGAAGUUUUGAAGUUGUUCUUAUGAAGAAUCACAGAACCAGGGGAUGAAGAUAAAUAAAGUGAUAGAGUUAUGACUGUGGUGUUUAGAUUAAGAGGAAGCUACAACUCAUGUAACUGGUGGUGGUAGAAUUGAAAUAGUGAUCGUGUAACUGUGUUGGAGAAUUGAUGAAUCAUGUUUUUGAUUCAUGGGAAGAUGGUGGUGGUUUAACUGAAAUGGUAGUGCCGCUGUUUGUAUUAGUUAGUGGAGUGAAGCUAAGAAGACGACAGUGCUGGAAGUGUUUCAUUUGGAUUGUAAUGGCUGAAGUGGAUAUUUUGAUUCAGCUGAACUGGCGUGCUUGUGGUGUUGAUUAGGAUGUGUUGUAUCUAGAGAUGGAAAGUGUGGUGAACUGAUGUUGGCAGUGUAGUUGAACUUUGGUUGUUCUAAGAUGCAUAUUUUUUCUAGUCUAGUGGUAUUAAUGCUAGUGUGGUGUUUGCAAGAUUGAACUGUGGUUGGGAAAGAAAUGUACUUAAGAUUGAAGUGGUAGAUAAGGUUUGAGUAAGAGUUUUGUUGUCAAGGUUUAUGUAAUGCAUUUGAGGAUGAACUUUAGAUGAUGUUUGGUGUUUUGCUAGGGGAAUGAAUAGUUCAGGUUGGUAAGUGUUAAGAUGAAGGUUAGGUCAUGAUGGAAAAGUUGUUAGACCUUGUAUAAGAGGAAAUGGUGUUAUAAUGUGUGGUUGAGAAGGCAGUGACAAUUGAGUAGAGAAUGUGGCAAAUUGAACUGAAAGAGACUGAUCUGUAUGUGCAGCAUUGUUAGAAUUGAAGUUAGAUGAUUGAGGAGAGACGAGGUGGAAAUGAGAGUUGGAUAAGCAAUAACUCAGUGAAUAGAGAUAUGAGAGUAAUUGGUGUUGCUAGAUUGUAGUGAUGGUUGUGUAUAGUUUAGGCUAAUUCCUAAUGAAGUUUCAUUUCAGUUC